GACAGGGAAAGAUUUCACCAAUCUACUCAGAAAAGCAUGCAAUUUAAAACUUAUUUUGAAGUUGGAAGAAGUGGCAAGAAUUGAAAAGCAAGAAGCAAAUGUUACUAGAAACACCUAUAAAAAAGAAUUAUUUCUGAAGAACAUUUUUAAAGAGCCAAAAUCUGUCAGUGAAUCUUAAUGCUGAAAGAGACUGAGUAACAGCUAUUAAGUAAGGUGAAAAUGCGAUUUUACAUGGAAACCUAUUUUAUUCCAUAAAACUAAAUGAACUGUAACCCAGAAGUGCAAUGAGACACACACAGCAUGACCACAUUAUUUCUGAAAGCUGAAGAGUUGCCAGUCUGCUGAUCUCAGACAUCAUGAGCCACACAGUUCAGUUCAAAUUGUUUCCCUACAAUAGCUUUGAGCCUCUGCCAAACAGCCACCACAGGACUCUAAAAAAUACAAGAAAUGAAAGGGGCACGUGGCAGAGUGGCAGAUAUAAUCAAAAACAUUCUUUUCAAGAGCAAUAAAUAAGGAAAAGAACACGUCGGUACUCCAACAAGCCAUAGCUUCUGCCAGAUGUUGCAAAAAUGAGUCAGAUAGCUGACCUUUCUUCUAGGGCCUGUAUCAACUUUGAAUGGAGCUUUCAAUUGCACAAUAAGCAUCUGGACAGUUUUGACAUCUUUAUUACACUCUUUGAGUUCUUAAAAGCUACCAUUUUGUUUAAAGAUGACAUAUGAAAAUUAAAACAAUUACUUAAGUGCUGACAGUUAUUAAUCCUGUAACUCAAUAUCAAUACCCUUAUCUUCUUAGAACUGGGUCUCUAACUACUAUUUAUAAUCAAGACACCAACUGUCAAAUCAAAUUAAAAUUGAGAUUUGAUUGAUUAUUUGAUGACAUUAACAUUCACAUCUAUUUCCUUCACAUGCCUAAUUUUGUUCUUGUGUUUGCUUUACACUGAAUUAUUGUGGUUUAAAUAGCCUGUUUUACAUGACCACUUUCAAACAAGAUCAUAAACUUUCAUAAAAACAAACUAAGGAAUUCAUAAUCACAGCUCUUGGCCGCCACCUAAAGGUUUCUUUCUUGUUUUAUUUUACAUAAGACCUACUAUGCAUUCCUUUUAUAAUAAAACUGUCUUGUCA